AUGCUCAUCAUAAGGAAAGCCACAAACCCCAACAUGGACAUCACGCUGAACUUAGUUGUGAUUCUUCUACUUCACCUCGCCCAACAAGCAAACCAGGCGCAAGAUGACAUCACUUGCGGAGGAUUCAUCACCAUCUUGGAAAACUCCCUUGUCCUCGACCUUGCCGGUUUGAACCCGUUGGGAGAUAACCGUCUUGUUAAUAUUCAUGUUAUUCGUGAUGUCGGGAUGUUAGUUUCUCCUCAUAGUCAUUACUAUGUCUGUAUCACUGGAGUGAGACAUUUGUUGCUCACUACCAUGCCUAAACGUUUCUUGAUCGAGGACGGAAUUUUGCAUUAUGUUGCAUAG
rnacentral:rRNA from 1 species